GUGAGCCUCCAGAGCAAUAUCUGAAACCGAUUAAGGGACCAGGAAGCAGGCUGGGACGGUCAAGACUGCCCGAAAGACAGGAGGCUCCCCAAGCAGAGCAGGCAGAUCCAGUUCCCCCGGUGAAGGAAUGAAAAAUGAAGACUGAAAAAUUAAACAGAGGUUGACUCAUAAAAUCUCCUCUAUGCUUGGAGCUAUGAAUCAGAGCACAGGCCUGGCAGUCAGAAAAUCUGGAUUCCAGUGGCUCGAUCAAUUACUUUUAUUUCCUGGCCAGUGUAAUGAAUGAACUGGAUUAGGCUUCUGUACCUAGACCAUUCUAUUAAUCUGUGCAGUAUGGAUGAUUAUAUAACAUAGAAGCUCUUACAGACCAGACCUGACAUGAGUCCUUCAAACUCAUCUACAACUGAACAAAUUCUUCUCAUUGAAACAGUCCAUACACUUUUGACACCUCGCCAACUUGGCAGAUAAGGCUGGAUUUUCUGCAAAUUGAAAAGUGGUGAUAGUGAAGCUGCUGGUAGUGUUAAUGCUGAUAAAAUAUAGUUCCAUCUCUAUAUGGAUCAUUUC